rnacentral:sRNA from 1 species
UUUCCAGCUUCCUUGCAUGCCUCACCAUGGACUAGGAAAAAAAAGCGGAGGUGUGGGGGAUUCCUUCAAGUCAUUUGUCUUGAGGCAAAAAGGUUUAGAAGAGGAAUUCCUUUCAUAUAACUAAGGUACAAACUGCAGAAGAUGACUUGAAAACAGAUUUCUACAAGGAUUUAACUUCUCUUGGACACAAUGAAAAUCAACAAGGCUCAUUCUCAAGUCAGGGGGGGAGCUCUUUCAGUGUACCAAUUUUUUAUUCCUCAAAGAGAAGUGAAAAUAUCAACCAUAAUUCUGCCUUCAAACAAGCCAUUCAAGCCUCUCACAAAAAGGAUUCUAGUUUUAUUAGGAUCCAUAAAGUGAUGAAAGUCUUAAACUUCACAACGAAAGCUAAAGAUCUGCACCUUUCUGAUGUCUUUUUGAAAGCACUUAACCAUCUGCCUCUAGAAUAUAACUCUGCUUUGUACAGCCGAAUAUUCGAUGACUUUGGGACUCAUUACUUCACCUCUGGCUCCCUGGGAGGCGUGUAUGACCUCCUCUAUCAGUUUAGCAGUGAGGAACUAAAGAACUCAGGUUUAACCGAGGAAGAAGCCAAACACUGUGUCAGGAUUGAAACAAAGAAACGCGUUUUAUUUGUUAAGAAAACAAAAGUGGAACAUAGGUGCACCACCAACAAGCUGUCAGAGAAACAUGAAGGUUCAUUUAUACAGGGAGCAGAGAAAUCCAUAUCCCUGAUUCGAGGUGGAAGGAGUGAAUAUGGAGCAGCUUUGGCAUGGGAGAAAGGGAGCUCUGGUCUGGAGGAGAAGACAUUUUCUGAGUGGUUAGAAUCAGUGAAGGAAAAUCCUGCUGUGAUUGACUUUGAGCUUGCCCCCAUCGUGGACUUGGUAAGAAACAUCCCCUGUGCAGUGACAAAACGGAACAACCUCAGGAAAGCUUUGCAAGAGUAUGCAGCCAAGUUCGAUCCUUGCCAGUGUGCUCCAUGCCCUAAUAAUGGCCGACCCACCCUCUCAGGGACUGAAUG